GGCUUCUGGGUGCUUGCCAUGGGCUGUGCUCUUACACUGACUGUACAGAAAGAGGAGGCAGAGUAAACCUACUGCAUACACACCUCAGCCCAGGCCCUGUUCCUGGUCUGUAUUGUAAAUGGGAAAACAUGG